AACGAACGCUGGCGGCAUGCCUAACACAUGCAAGUCGAACGAGACCUUCGGGUCUAGUGGCGCACGGGUGCGUAACGCGUGGGAAUCUGCCCUUGGGUUCGGAAUAACAGUUAGAAAUGACUGCUAAUACCGGAUAAUGUCUUCGGACCAAAGAUUUAUCGCCCAGGGAUGAGCCCGCGUAGGAUUAGCUAGUUGGUGAGGUAAAGGCUCACCAAGGCGACGAUCCUUAGCUGGUCUGAGAGGAUGAUCAGCCACACUGGGACUGAGACACGGCCCAGACUCCUACGGGAGGCAGCAGUGGGGAAUAUUGGACAAUGGGCGAAAGCCUGAUCCAGCAAUGCCGCGUGAGUGAUGAAGGCCUUAGGGUUGUAAAGCUCUUUUACCGGGAUGAUAAUGACAGUACCGGGAGAAUAAGCCCCGGCUAACUCCGUGCCAGCAGCC
rnacentral:rRNA from 1 species